CCAUUAUAGGAACCGGACCGAAGUCUCCCGUCCAAGAUUCAGUAAAUGCCUGGAUGAAGCUAUUGGUUACAAACUCAAGAUCAAAGGAACAGGAAACUUUCACUCGAAGUAUUUGCUGUGAGAUGAUGCAAAGUUCCCGUUCUGUCCGGAUGAUUUGACCAGCAUUUUCUGUUGUCGUUCUUACACCCUGCAUCCUCGUCAACUUCAAAUGCCAAUUGCAGUUACAAUGGACAGCAAGAUACAGCUAGUUGGGUGCAUCUAGGAGACUGGACUUCUUCAGCAUCACUCAUCCUCGUUGUCUCCGUCAAAUUAAAUUAAUUUGGACAGCUCCUUCCAGUGUGUUUACAAAUCAGGCCCUGUGUUUAUCAACCCCCGAAUUAAAGGAACUAUUUUCAAUAUAUCAACAUUGCCCGAAGAAAUUAGGCCGGAUUACGCCCCAUUAUCUUGAAGUAGAAUGUUCUGAUAAAACCAUUCUUUUAAAAUAACUUUUUUUCUUUGCUUUUCUUAAUCC